AGAACGAACGCUGGCGGCAUGCCUAAUACAUGCAAGUCGAACGAAGGCUUCGGCCUUAGUGGCGCACGGGUGCGUAACGCGUGGGAAUCUGCCCCUUGGUUCGGAAUAACAGUUGGAAACGACUGCUAAUACCGGAUGAUGACGAAAGUCCAAAGAUUUAUCGCCCAGGGAUGAGCCCGCGUAGGAUUAGCUAGUUGGUGAGGUAAAGGCUCACCAAGGCGACGAUCCUUAGCUGGUCUGAGAGGAUGAUCAGCCACACGUGGGACUGAGAC
rnacentral:rRNA from 1 species